rnacentral:rRNA from 1 species
GACGUAGGGGGCUAGCGUUGUCCGGAAUCAUUGGGCGUAAAGAGCGUGUAGGCGGCCCGGUAAGUCCGCUGUGAAAGUCGGGGGCUCAACCCUGGAAUGCCGGUGGAUACUGUCGGGCUAGAGUGCGGAAGAGGCGAGUGGAAUUCCUGGUGUAGCGGUGAAAUGCGCAGAUAUCAGGAGGAACACCGAUUGCGAAGGCAGCUCGCUGGGACGUAACUGACGCUGAGACGCGAAAGCGUGGGGAGCAAACAGG